UUUGUACUCCCUCCGUCCCAACAUUCUUGUCUUAAAUUUGUCUAAAUACGGAUGUAUCUAGUUACAUUUUAGUGUUAGAUACAUCCGUAUCUAAACAAAUGUAAGACAAGAAUUUUGGGACGGAGGGAAUACUAC
rnacentral:pre_miRNA from 1 species